rnacentral:rRNA from 1 species
AUUGAACGCUGGCGGCAGGCUUAACACAUGCAAGUCGAGCGGGGUGAUGGUGCUUGCACUAUCACUUAGCGGCGGACGGGUGAGUAAUGCUUAGGAAUCUGCCUAUUAGUGGGGGACAACAUCUCGAAAGGGAUGCUAAUACCGCAUACGUCCUACGGGAGAAAGCAGGGGAUCACUUGUGACCUUGCGCUAAUAGAGGAGCCUAAGUCGGAUUAGCUAGUUGGUGGGGUAAAGGCCUACCAAGGCGACGAUCUGUAGCGGGUCUGAGAGGAUGAUCCGCCACACUGGGACUGAGACACGGCCCAGACUCCUACGGGAGGCAGCAGUGGGGAAUAUUGGACAAUGGGCGGGACCCUGAUCCAGCCAUGCCGCGUGUGUGAAGAAGGCCUUAUGGUUGUAAAGCACUUUAAGCGAGGAGGAGGCUCUUUUGGUUAAUACCCAAGAUGAGUGGACGUUACUCGCAGAAUAAGCACCGGCUAACUCUGUGCCAGCAGCCGCCGUAA